GACGAACGCUGGCGGCGUGCCUAAUACAUGCAAGUAGAACGCUGAAGGAGGAGCUUGCUUCUCUGGAUGAGUUGCGAACGGGUGAGUAACGCGUAGGUAACCUGCCUGGUAGCGGGGGAUAACUAUUGGAAACGAUAGCUAAUACCGCAUAAUAGCAGUUGUUGCAUGACAACUGUUUGAAAGGUGCAAUUGCACCACUACCAGAUGGACCUGCGUUGUAUUAGCUAGUUGGUGGGGUAACGGCUCACCAAGGCGACGAUACAUAGCCGACCUGAGAGGGUGAUCGGCCACACUGGGACUGGGACACGGCCCAGACUCCUACGGGAGGCAGCAGUAGGGAAUCUUCGGCAAUGGACGGAAGUCUGACCGAGCAACGCCGCGUGAGUGAAGAAGGUUGUCGGAUCGUAAAGCUCUGUUGUAAGAGAAGAACGAGUGUGAGAGUGGAAAGUUCACACUGUGACGGUAUCUUACCAGAAAGGGACGGCUAACUACGUG
rnacentral:rRNA from 1 species